rnacentral:rRNA from 1 species
GCACAAGCAGCGGAGCGUGUGGUUUAAUUCGUUGCUACACGAAGAACUUACCUGGGUUUGACAUAUAGGUUGUAGGGAACUGAAAGGGACCGACCCUUCGGGAGCCUAUACAGGUGUUGCAUGGCUGUCGUCAGCUCGUGUCGUGAGAUGUUCGGUUAAGUCCGCUAACGAGCGCAACCCUCGUCGUAUGUUAUAUGUGUCAUACGAGACUGCCGGUAAAAAGCCGGAGGAAGGUGAGGAUGAUGUCAAGUCAGCAUGACCUUUAUAUCCAGGGCUACACACACGCUACAAUGGUCUGUACAAUGGGUAGCCAAGCCGCGAGGCGGAGCCAAUCCUGAAAGCAGGCCUCAGUUCAGAUUGCAGUCUGCAACUCGACUGCAUGAAGCCGGAGUUGCUAGUAACCGCAGGUCAGCAAUACUGCGGUGAAUACGUUCUCGGGUCUU